rnacentral:misc_RNA from 1 species
GAUGAGAACGCAGCGAAAUGCGAUAAGUAAUGUGAAUUGCAGAAUUCAGUGAAUCAUCGAAUCUUUGAACGCACAUUGCGCCCUUUGGUAUUCCGAAGGGCAUGCCUGUUCGAGCGUCAUUAUCACCCCUCAAGCCCUCGGCUUGGUGUUGGACGGUUUGGUGGAGGCCCCCUCGGGGGCUCCUGCCCCUCCCAAAGACAAUGACGGCGGCCUCGUUGGACCCCCGGUACACUGAGUUCUUCACGGGACACGUAUCGGACACAUGGGUUUACGGGACACGGUCUGCCUCCCCUCAGGGAGAAUCUUUCUAAGGUUGACCUCGGAUCAGGUAGGGAUACCCGCUGAACUUAAGCAUAUCAAUAAGCGGAGGA